CACUUAAGACGGAUACUUAGAGGUCAGGCUUCUCUGUUUGACUGGUCGAGAUCAACUUCACUAGCAAGAACUUUGUCUCCCCGAGUUCUAGAAAGUCAAGUAGAUGCCAAGAAGGAACUGGAGAAAAGCCUAAAAGCAACUUGUGAGGAGUUCAUCAUGUCGGUCACUAAGCUGGUUGUGGAUCCGAUGCUUUCAUUUGUUACCAAGGUUACUGCUGUAAAAGUUGCACUGUCUUCUGG
rnacentral:misc_RNA from 1 species